AUGAAGGGGUCCAGGAUGCGGACGGGUCGGUGUACGCCCUGGAGGACGGCAGGAGGGGCGGAGAGCACCCGGACGCACAGGCGACCAUGGCCGGCUUCGGACAGGGCACCUGCUUAUUGGAUGGACUGGCCUGGAUUAUCGGGAAUUUGGAAUGACAGCAGUUUGCAAU
rnacentral:lncRNA from 1 species